GUGGGAAGUUCGGAUCAUUUUACUGACUCGGAUCUUUGAGUCUCGUUCAGCAAAAUGAACGAAUCUUUUUUCGAGUCAUUUCGUUCAUUUCGUUCAUUUCAGCAUAAUAUAAUUAAAAUGGCAUGUUAAAUAUCCCAACACAUCUAGAACUUACGAAAAUGUUGAUUACAUUUGUAAAAAGAAUAAAAAAAAAUUAUAGGGUAAUGCAGCCAAAGCCAAAUUAUAAGAAACCGAAAUUUUUAUGAAUUGAUUAGUUGUUGGGUUUUAAGUUCAGGCUAUUGCAGUCUGAUUCUGUUAGUUCACCUCACCUCCUCAUCCGAGACGUUCUUUCCUUUGCAACUUCAUAUUUAUCAGGUUUGUUCUCCUCCUUUUGUGUCUCAAAACGUUAGUUGUCGACUCGUCAGUGUCUGACUCUGAUCUGUCUGCUGGGCCGUGCCGUGUGUGAUACAGCAGGGCCGGAAAGAGUAAUGAUUAGAGUUGCUAUGCUGUCAGUACCGGAAAGAGUAAUGAUUAGUUCAUUUUCUUCGAGUCUUCGGGUUUGAGUCCUUCGUUCUUUUGUCACGUGACCGCUGGUAUCUCGCAUCAAAUACAAUAUUAGAUUCGUAUUAUUGACUGCGUCUGAAUGUAUAUUGUUUUAUAUUUAGGAAUUAAAAUACAAAAUAUGUGAAAUAAACAUUAUCUGAAAAAUAAAAGUUCCAUCUUA